AUACUCUGGUUUCUCUUCAAAUCGUAUAAAUCUUUCGCCUUUUACUAAAGAUUUCCGUGGAGAGGAGCAUUUAUGAGUUUUCGUUAAUUUUUUGAGGCUCUACUUCGGUAGGGC